AUUCAAUUUAAUGAAGAAAUCACUGCCGUUGAAGUAGUUGCUGCAUCAAUAAGACGCGUUAUGUUAUUGACAAACAACUAAUUACCCAAAAAAUUGCAUGGAAUUUUGGAGAAAGUAUACUCAUAACUAAUGUUGCUUUAAGGACAAAUGGUAAGCCGGAACAAGUGAU